AGCUGUGGACCAGUUGUGUGGAGUCACAUUGUUUCUUUCGUAACACAUUAGGAUUUCCUCCCUCCCACCAAGACAUGCUAAGUGUGAAAUCAGACCCAACUGUGCGAGACGGACACAUCGUGAGAUAUCGCCCCCACCCGAUGCCACCGGAGCCCCUCGCCACCCUCAGCCCCCUCCGGACCCGUCUGACUGAGACAGCCAGCCUCUGGAGACAGCUCACGGCUGAUUGAUUGUCUCUAAGCUCAGUAAAGACACCGUUCAUUCACAGCAGUCUGAGGUGGCUCAGUGGGGACUGGGGCGGGAAAGGAGGGGACAGAAAAUGAUGGCAAACAAAGAGGGCGAGGA